UGCAGCACUUUAACAGUAUUAUCUUUUGUAUUUGAAAUAGCUCAGCUGGAAUUCUGUCACCUCCACUAGCUUUGCUUGUAGUGAUGCUUCCUAAGGCCCACUUGACUUCACACUCCAGGAUGUUAGCUCUAGAUGAAUGACCACACACCAUUGUGGUUAUCUGAGUUAUUAAGACCUUUUUUUUUUGUUUUUUUUAUAUAGUUU